AUUGGGACUGAGAUACGGCCCAGACUCCUACGGGAGGCAGCAGUAGGGAACUUUGCGCAAUGGACGAAAGUCUGACGCAGCAACUCCGCGUGAGGGAUGAAUGCCUUCGGGUUGUAAACCUCUGUUGAGUGGGAAGAAAAAUUUUAUUGCUAAUAUCAAUAAAACAUGACGGUACCAUUCGAAGAAGCUCCGGCUAACUACGUGCCAGCAGCCGCGGUAAUACGUAGGGAGCUAGCGUUGUUCGGAAUUACUGGGCGUAAAGGGAGUGUAGGCGGAAAAGUAAGUUAGAAGUGAAAUGUAUCGGCUCAACCGAUAACCUGCUUUUAAUACUGCUUUUCUUGAGUAUGGGAGAGGAAGAUGGAAUUCCAGGUGUAGCGGUGGAAUGCGUAGAUAUCUGGAAGAACACCAGUUGCGAAGGCGGUCUUCUGGCCCAAUACUGACGCUGAGGCUCGAAAGCUAGGGGAGCGAACAGGAUUAGAUACCCUGGUAGUCCUAGCCGUAAACGAUGGACACUAGAUGCUGGGAACGAUUAGUUUUCGGUGUCGAAGCUAACGCAUUAAGUGUCCCGCCUGGGGAGUACGCUCGCAAGUGUGAAACUCAAAGGAAUUGACGGGGGCCCGCACAAGCGGUGGAGCAUGUGCUUUAAUUCGAUGCAACGCGAAGAACCUUACCUGGUCUUGACAUGGGAGUGAAAGUCUUUAGAGAUAAAGACCUUCCCUUCGGGGACACUCUACACAGGUGCUGCAUGGUUGUCGUCAGCUCGUGUCGUGAGAUGUUGGGUUAAGUCCCGCAACGAGCGCAACCCCUGUCCUUAGUUGCCAUCAGGUCAAGCUGGGAACUCUAAGGAGACUGCCUGGAUUAACCAGGAGGAAGGUGGGGAUGACGUCAAAUCCUCAUGGCCCUUACGACCAGGGCUAGACACGUGCUACAAUGGGUGGUACAACGGGAUGCUAGAUCGCGAGGUUAAGCUAAUCCCUUAAAACCAUUCUCAGUUCGGAUUGGAGUCUGCAAUUCGACUCCAUGAAGUUGGAAUCGCUAGUAAUCGCGGAUCAGCAUGCCGCGGUGAAUACGUUCCCGGGCCUUGUACACACCGCCCGUCAAGCCAUGAAAGAUGAUAGUACCCAAAGUCGUUAUCCUAACCUUUUUGGAGGGAAGCGCCUAAGGUAAGAUCAUUAAUUGGGGCUAAGUCGAAACAAGGUA
rnacentral:rRNA from 1 species